AGCGAACGCUGGCGGCAGGCUUAACACAUGCAAGUCGAACGGGCAUCUUCGGAUGUCAGUGGCAGACGGGUGAGUAACACGUGGGAACGUACCCUUCGGUUCGGAAUAACUCAGGGAAACUUGAGCUAAUACCGGAUACGCCCUUUUGGGGAAAGGUUUACUGCCGAAGGAUCGGCCCGCGUCUGAUUAGCUUGUUGGUGGGGUAACGGCCUACCAAGGCGACGAUCAGUAGCUGGUCUGAGAGGAUGAUCAGCCACACUGGGACUGAGACACGGCCCAGACUCCUACGGGAGGCAGCAGUGGGGAAUAGUGGACAAUGGGCGCAAGCCUGAUCCAGCCAUGCCGCGUGAGUGAUGAAGGCCUUAGGGUUGUAAAGCUCUUUUGUCCGGGACGAUAAUGACGGUACCGGAAGAAUAAGCCCCGGCUAACUUCGUG
rnacentral:rRNA from 1 species